ensembl:lncRNA MIR493HG MIR493 cluster host gene
UGGCGGGCCUCUCGUCUCCUUCCUGGUUUGGGCGGAAGCCAUCACCUGGAUGCCUACGUGGGAAGGGACCUCGAAUGUGGGACCCCAGCCCCUCUCCAGCUCGAAAUCGCACGGUGCUCGAUCCCCAAUGGAAGGAAAUGGAGGCAGACCCAUCUUGCAGGUCAUCACCAGGAAGGAGAUGAGACUCAUGUCCUGGAGACGAAUACCCCACUGGAGGUGGCGUGAAGGGGAGAUGGCUGCUUUCUCCUGGGAAGGGAGCAGAUGCCUGGCCCAGGACCAAAUCAAAAGCUGAGGCUCACUGCCCCCAGUGGGCAGUGGGUCCAGGGGGUUUCUGAGGACAGGGCAUGACCCAGCCCUGCUGCCCCCAAGAUGGCACCUGGCUUGGAGGGGUGAGGGGCCCUGUUAGUCUGACUUUGAAGAAGACCAGCCUUCCAGACUCGCUUGGUGCCCUGACAGCAGCUUGUGUUUCUUCCUUCAAGAGUCUGCUUAGAGAUAAUAAAGAUCAACACUAUUCCUUAUAACAACACCUCAGUAUCCUGCGAGCUGUACACACCAGAGUUUAUUUAACCACCUUGCUGCUGGCAUGAAAGCCUCAGGAGCCCUGGGCUCCCCCAGUGUUGCCUGGGUCUGACUUUGCCUCAGUGAAAACUGCCUCGAAUUCUUUCUUGCACCGAUGGGCAGAUGGGCAGUGUCGGAGGAUCGUGUCAUCUGUCCCGUGGCGCUGGUUGGCUUGGUCAAGUCAGUGUUCAAACUAUCUCCUGCUCUUUCAAGGGGAUCUGGGGCUCUAGAAGAUUAGAGGACUUGGAGAGGUUAGUGACUUGCUCGAGGUCGGCUAGGAAGCAAGACCCAGGAUUCCAACUCAGGUCUGUGUGAUUCCUCUGCAAAAUGGAGAGGUGGAAGGAUGGAUGUCAGGUCUGAUGGAUGGAUGGAUGCCUACAUCAAGAUACAUGCAUAGAUGGAGAGAUGGCUGGCUACCUCAUGAAUGCUGGACUGUUGUGAGAAUCAAACGAGAUAAUGUAUGCUGAGGCAUGCUGUGAACACUACGUGCUGGGUACAGGAGAAUGGAGGCUCCAGAGUGAAAUUAAUGACACUUUGUCGAUGAAGAUCUUGAUUGUGACCUCUGUGGAAAAUGAGCCAUGAACCAACCAAUGAUAAGUCUACUUUUCUUCCACGUAACAACCACAGGAUAGAUGACAUUCAUUUUCUAAGAAACAAAAUCUUGGCAGUUAGAUCCGUGGGGUAAAGAAUAUAGAUACUAAUCCUGAGAGAAUAUGGAAGACACUGUCAGUGUUGGAAGAUGGUGGUUUUAUCACUUUUCAUUGCACUGUCUUUAAAACAUGGGCAAAUUGACUAAAAGAAGACUACAGAAGAAAUAAUGGUGAUUGUGAAUUUGAAUGAAAACCAUGUAGCUGGUCUUAUUAUUCUCUAAUCAUGAAGACCAUUAUUGUUAUUUGUGGACUAAGGAGCAGAAAGACUGAUAGUGGACAUAGGCCAGCUGAUUUAAUAAUUUAAGAAAGAACUGUUAUCCUGAGUAAGGAGCAUAGAGACAAAUAUAAAAUGAACGCACUCUACCUGAUUUAAUUAUAGUCUUCUGGUGAAGAUCUUGCUGUUAUCUCUGUGAAUCAGGAGAGAAGAGAUUGAUAAGGAAUAGACGAGAUUGGAUUUGGUCAUUUCCCCAAGGUGAAGAGCAUGGCGAUUUCUUCUGUGAAUGAAGACCAUGGUUGAUUUAAUCAGUCUCUGCUGAUGAAGAUCUUGGCUGUUACCUUUGUGUGUAAGGAAGCUAAAGACUUAAGUAAAUAACAGUCCAAAAACUUGUCAAUUAGGAAUGAAUGCGCAAUGAUUCAAUUAUUCUCCAGCGAGGAAGAUCAUGGUUGUUGUCUGUUUGAGUAAUGAGUGUAGAAACCUAUGUAAGUAACAAAGUGAUUGCUUUUGCUUUAGUGGUUGUUAAGAGAGUUAAGUCUUUCUGGAAAGGAAUAAAUGACUAU